UACGUAGGGGGCAAGCGUUGUCCGGAUUUAUUGGGCGUAAAGCGCGUGUAGGCGGCUUUGCAAGUCGGGUGUGAAAGCCCUCGGCUCAACCGAGGAAGUGCGCCCGAAACUGCAGAGCUUGAGUACCGGAGAGGAUGGCGGAAUUCCCCAAGUAGAGGUGAAAUUCGUAGAUAUGGGGAGGAACACCGGUGGCGAAGGCGGCCAUCUGGACGGAUACUGACGCUGAGACGCGAAAGCGUGGGGAGCAAACAGG
rnacentral:rRNA from 1 species